GGUCAAGCGAAUAAGCGCACACGGUGGAUGCCUUGGCGGUCAGAGGCGAUGAAGGACGUGGCAGCCUGCGAAAAGUAUCGGGGAGCUGGCAACAAGCUUUGAUCCGGUAAUGUCCGAAUGGGGAAACCCACCCGCUUGCGGGUAUCCUGCAGUGAAUACAUAGCUGCUGGAAGCGAACCUGGUGAACUGAAAUAUCUAAGUAACCAGAGGAAAAGAAAUCAACCGAGAUUCCGUAAGUAGCGACGAGCGAACGCGGACUAGCCCUUAAGCUGAUUUGGUUCUAGGAAAACGCUCUGGAAAGAGCGGCCAUAGAAGGUGAUAGCCCUGUAUCUGAAAGGGCCAUUUCAGUGAAGACGAGUAGGGCGGGGCACGUGAAACCCUGUCUGAACAUGGGGGGACCAUCCUCCAAGGCUAAAUACUACUGACCGACCGAUAGUGAACCAGUACCGUGAGGGAAAGGCGAAAAGAACCCCGGAGAGGGGAGUGAAAUAGAACCUGAAACCGUGUGCGUACAAGCAGUAGGAGCUCCGCAAGGAGUGACUGCGUACCUUUUGUAUAAUGGGUCAGCGACUUACUGUUCGUGGCAAGCUUAACCGUAUAGGGGAGGCGAAGGGAAACCGAGUCUGAUAAGGGCGCAUAGUCGCGGGCAGUAGACCCGAAACCGGGUGAUCUAGUCAUGCCCAGGGUGAAGGUGCGGUAACACGCACUGGAGGCCCGAACCCACUCCCGUUGCAAAGGUAGGGGAUGAGGUGUGAUUAGGAGUGAAAAGCUAAUCGAACCCGGAGAUAGCUGGUUCUCCUCGAAAGCUAUUUAGGUAGCGCCUCAUAUGUAUCCUCUCGGGGGUAGAGCACUGUUAUGGCUAGGGGGUCAUCGCGACUUACCAAACCAUUGCAAACUCCGAAUACCGAGACGGACUGUAUGGGAGACACACGGCGGGUGCUAACGUCCGUCGUGAAAAGGGAAACAACCCAGACCCACAGCUAAGGUCCCAAAUUCACUGCUAAGUGGAAAACCAUGUGGAAAGGCACAGACAGCCAGGAGGUUGGCUUAGAAGCAGCCACCCUUUAAAGAAAGCGUAAUAGCUCACUGGUCGAGUCGGUCUGCGGGGAAGAUUUAACGGGGCUAAGCAGUGAACCGAAGCUUGGGGUGCAUAACUUUGUUAUGCGCGGUAGAGGAGCGUUCCGUAAGCCGUUGAAGGUGGAUUGAGAAGUCUGCUGGAGGUAUCGGAAGUGCGAAUGCUGACAUGAGUAACGAUAAUGCGGGUGAAAAACCCGCACGCCGAAAGCCCAAGGUUUCCUUGCGCAACGUUAAUCGGCGCAGGGUGAGUCGGCCCCUAAGGCGAGGACGAAAGUCGUAGUCGAUGGGAAGCAGGUUAAUAUUCCUGCACCUCGCGUAAGUGCGAUGGAGGGACGGAGAAGGUUAGGUGUACCAGGCGUUGGUUGUCCUGGGGAAAGGCGGUAGGUUUGGAUCUUUGGCAAAUCCGGGAUCCUUCAAGACCGAGCACCGAGACGAGCCUUUAUGGCAAAGUCACUGAUACCACGCUUCCAGGAAAAGCUCCUAAGCUUCAGCUUACGCAGACCGUACCGUAAACCGACACAGGUGGGUAGGAUGAGAAUUCUCAGGCGCUUGAGAGAACUCGGGUGAAGGAACUAGGCAACAUGGCACCGUAACUUCGGGAGAAGGUGCACCCUUUUUGGUGGCUCGUGCGAGCUAUAGCUGAAGAGGGUCGCAGUAACCAGGCCGCUGCGACUGUUUAUCAAAAACACAGCACUCUGCAAACACGAAAGUGGACGUAUAGGGUGUGACGCCUGCCCGGUGCUGGAAGGUUAAUUGAUGGGGUCAGCCGCAAGGCGAAGCUCUUGAUCGAAGCCCCAGUAAACGGCGGCCGUAACUAUAACGGUCCUAAGGUAGCGAAAUUCCUUGUCGGGUAAGUUCCGACCUGCACGAAUGGCGUAACGACAGCGGCGCUGUCUCCACCCGAGACUCAGUGAAAUUGAAAUCGCUGUGAAGAUGCAGCGUUCCCGUGGCAAGACGGAAAGACCCCGUGAACCUUUACUAUAGCUUUACACUGAACGUUGAGUUCGUCUGUGUAGGAUAGGUGGGAGGCUAUGAAACUGUGGCGCUAGCUGCAGUGGAGCCAUCCUUGAAAUACCACCCUGUCGUGCUUGACGUUCUAACCUGGGCCCAUUAUCUGGGUCGGGGACCGUGUAUGGUGGGUAGUUUGACUGGGGCGGUCUCCUCCUAAAGAGUAACGGAGGAGCUCGAAGGUACGCUCAGCGCGGUCGGACAUCGCGCACUGUGUGCAAAGGCAUAAGCGUGCUUGACUGCAAGAUCGACGGAUCAAGCAGGUAGGAAACUAGGACUUAGUGAUCCGGUGGUUCUGUAUGGAAGGGCCAUCGCUCAACGGAUAAAAGGUACUCCGGGGAUAACAGGCUGAUACCGCCCAAGAGUUCAUAUCGACGGCGGUGUUUGGCACCUCGAUGUCGGCUCAUCACAUCCUGGGGCUGUAGUCGGUCCCAAGGGUAUGGCUGUUCGCCAUUUAAAGUGGUACGCGAGCUGGGUUCAGAACGUCGUGAGACAGUUCGGUCCCUAUCUGCCAUGGGCGUUGGAGAUUUGAGAGGGGCUGCUCCUAGUACGAGAGGACCGGAGUGGACGAACCUCUGGUGUUCCGGUUGUCACGCCAGUGGCAUUGCCGGGUAGCUAUGUUCGGAAGCGAUAACCGCUGAAAGCAUCUAAGCGGGAAGCGCGCCUCAAGAUGAGAUCUCCCGGGGCACAAGCCCCCUGAAGGAACCAUGUAGACUACGUGGUUGAUAGGUCAGGUGUGUAAGUACAGCAAUGUAUUGAGCUAACUGAUACUAAUGAUCCGAGAGGCUUGACCAU
rnacentral:rRNA from 2 species